AGCCACAGCCUCACCUGACCUCAGCCGGGGGGGAAAGAGUCACACUCACAGGACCCAGCAGCCCUGCUUCUACACUGUCUGGGCUGCCUGGAGAGCGGUGCCCCCAGGCAGUGUGAGGCCCUAUGCAGUUGCCUAUUCUGCCUAUGCCUAAGGACGGCCCUGACUAGUAUGGACCUCAUGAUGCGCUCUCUACUUCAGGGAAAACUCCUGUUGAAGUGACUGGGAGAUUUGCCUGGCAUCCCCUGGCAGGGCACCAGGGCCAAGUGCAACUCUGCUGGAGAGCUCUAGAAGUUUCUCUCACUCCAAAGCAGAGCUCGUGAUCUCAGGAAAACAGGGUUUUCCUGGGCAGAUUGGCAUUUCUGCCUGAAAUGCAUGGAAAGGAGAGUCCAUGCUCUUCUGGGAAUGAUCACCAGAUUUUGGCUCGUGUUUUUAGUGCAGAUUCAGGUGGGAGCUUAUGUCUGGACUGGCUGAUAUGUCCCUACUUGGGAGACUAGGCGGCUGUCUCUGCAUUUCAGAGUUGUCCCAAACCUGAAACUAUUAGCUGUUAUGACAUUUAUAAUACAGUCAUGUUGUAAAGAGAGUGGCCCAUCCCUGAAUAACAGCCAGCCCUGAGAAUCGGGUGCAGCUGAAGAAGGGACAGGGAUUUCUCUCUAAGGUGCUGGCAGAAUGGAAGAGUGGCAGAAGCCGCAGGACCGGGAAGUUGGUCCCCUGGGAGAAGAGACAGUGGGAACCUGCUGAGGGAAAAUGGUCCAGCAUGGUGCUUACUGAAAGAACAAGGCAGAAUCCUGCAGGAGGGACUAAGAGGCAAAGGGGGAAAAUCCCCUUGAAGCUGUAGCCCAGGGUGGGCUGAGGAACUGUUUGCUUGGAAAACGUAACUGCCUGGAAAGAGACUCUGGCUGUGGCCGUGAUCUAGGAACAAGCCAGCACUUCACAUGCGUCUCAAGGCCUCAAGCAGAGCUGGGUCCUGUUGUGCUAGGCGCUGUACGAAGCCACAUGGGCGAUCUGCACUUAACUGUCCCUGACUUUCGAUGGCUGGUGUACCCUUACGUGCUUUUAUGGCCUUAUGAAGAUCUCUCCCUGCCAACUUCCUCACAGUGAGUGUGUCCCUGCCCCACCACCGUUGUCAGUCCAUUGACAAUGGAAAAGCCAGAUCUAGCCACGUUCCCGACCCAAUUUCUCAGUUCAAAGAAACCUGGCUGAGUUUCAGAUUUGCCCUCGAACUCUUGAGUCUGUCCACAUGUGCUUGGUCUUCCCCCUCCCUCUGCGCCAGGAACCCCAAGUCUUUGUGCUCAUGCAUCUUUCAGGAGAUGAGCUGACAGCGUCUUGCUUCAUAGCUGGCUGGCGAAGCAGCAGUGAGAUGGAUGGCUCUGAAAAGUGCAAACUUGAAGGAAACUUCAGCCAUACCUGGAACGAUCCAAAACCAUUAAAGCAUGGCUAGUUUUGCUGAG